UACGUAGGUGGCAAGCGUUGUCCGGAUUUAUUGGGUUUAAAGGGGUGCGUAGGCGGUUUCAUAAGUCAGUGGUGAAAUACGGGCAGCCUCAACUGUCGAGGUGCCAUUGAUACUGUGAGACUUGAGUACAGACGAGGUAGGCGGAAUUGACGGUGUAGCGGUAGAAAUGCUUAGAUAUCGUCAAGAACACCGAUAGCGAAGGCAGCUUACUAGGCUGUAACUGACGCUGAGGCACGAAAGUGUGGGGAUCAAACAGG
rnacentral:rRNA from 1 species